rnacentral:rRNA from 1 species
GACGAACGCUGGCGGCGUGCUUAACACAUGCAAGUCGAACGGAAAGGCCCUGCUUUUGUGGGGUGCUCGAGUGGCGAACGGGUGAGUAACACGUGAGUAACCUGCCCUUGACUUUGGGAUAACUUCAGGAAACUGGGGCUAAUACCGGAUAGGAGCUCCUGCUGCAUGGUGGGGGUUGGAAAGUUUCGGCGGUUGGGGAUGGACUCGCGGCUUAUCAGCUUGUUGGUGGGGUAGUGGCUUACCAAGGCUUUGACGGGUAGCCGGCCUGAGAGGGUGACCGGCAACAUUGGGACUGAGAUACGGCCCAGACUCUUACGGGAGGCAGCAGUGGGGAAUAUUGCACAAUGGGCGGAAGCCUGAUGCAGAAACGCCGCGGGCGGGAUGACGGCCUUCGGGUUGUAACCCGCUUUCGCCUGUGACGAAGCGUGAGUGACGGUAAUGGGUAAAGAAGCCCCGGCUAACUACGG